ensembl:lncRNA
AGCCCAGAUAUCUAAAAAUUCUUAAAUCAAGAAGGAUUUUCUAGACAAGUAAAAAUUAUUUCCUUGGCUUUAGGCCAGGUAGAAUCUGUGAUCUCUAAACCAGUUCAUUUGCUCACUUCUACAGCUGCAGUAUGCUGUGUUUGAUGUAAACUGGCAAACUAGGCUUCAAUUAUAUAGUUGUGGGGGUGGGGGGGAGUGUUUUCCAGAACAGAAUUGUACCCCCAAUCUAAAAUCUAUGCUAAUUGUAAGUUAUCUUUGAUGAUAGUAGUCCUGACAGAAAUAUAUAUAUUUAUUCUAGGGUGUUGAAAGAACGAAACCAGCCAUUUCUGAAGAGCUUAAAAUUAUUAAAACACAUUUGCCUCAUUGUAAAACCCAUCAAACAGAGUGAUUUUAUUAUGCUUUCUAUUUGAAAAGCCAAAAUUUUAAAUCAUAUUCCAGUUCAACUAUUUAAACUUGUUUUGCAAGCGUACUCUCGAUGGACAUUACAUCACCUGUGCUGCAAGGUAAUGUACUUUUGUAGAACAGACACAAGUAAGUUAGCGGCACCAAAGGAUCAUGGGGGCUUGCACUGGCCAAUGUGCUGACAGAAAGACAGGGCACAUUUGGCGAGUAAAUGAGACUCAAGAUUUGAGUCGCAAAAUUGAGACUUAUGAUAACAUUCAAAUCAAAAUUCUGACUAUCAGGCCACUUAUUCAUAAUUGUAAUAGAUGGACAAAGCAUUAUUUUUAUUUGAAACAAAGGUACAUGCUGUUGGAAUGACUACACAUGCUUAUAAAUCUAAAACAUGCUUUUCUUUAGCUAGCAGCCAUCAUCAUGCCCUGACAGUUUAACAAUGGGCGAGAGGCUGGGGAGGGGAACAGGAAAGAGAAUGUCAAUCCAUCUGUGAUGUGUUUCACAAACUUUAGAUGGUGUUUUUGCAAUUCACUACAGCUUUUGAAUAACACAAUGAGCAGAAUGUGGAUUACAGAUGCAAGGAUCAAUCAUGCUGCACAUGUGAACACAUUUGGUCUGGAACGAAAUCAGAAAAGAAAUCAUGGAAACGCUGAGCAUUCUUACUUUGAAAUGGUGCCCUGGUUUAACACUGAAACACAUAAUUACAUAGAGCUCAAACAAGGUUUUGUUGUUGUAUCCAUUGACUACAUAAUAGGUCUUGCUCAUUCACCUUUGCCACCAGACUCUAAACAAACCACAAACCAAAGUUUCAAGUUCCCUAGGAAACUCCAAAGGUGGUCAAACCUCAACGAAGAGACAUUUACACUUUCAAACUGGAGUUUAAAACACUGUGUAAAAGCAGAAGAAUCAAUCUGGACCUGAAUUUUACAGGCAGGUGUAACUUGUAAGCAAUCACAUUAGAUUCAGCAAGGUGCCCCAUGCUGACCCGUGAGCAAAAAUGCGCAGAGCCAUGCGAUGCAUUUCUGUCCCGUGAGAAGUUUCAGAGAGCACACAGGACCCAUCAGAACAGCAGGCUCAAUGGCAUGGGACUCCAUAGUGGAACAAAGACUACAGCUCCAAGUCACAAACCAGAGAGGGGUCCCACCUCUUAAAACAUUUCCAGUACAUCAACAUGGAUCAUCUUCUCCAAACACUGGUGCCUAUAGCAACAGCAUGCUUCAGGGGAGGUCCCUUAGUGACUCAAGAAUCCUCUCUGAAAAAAAGGCCAGGAAAUCAUUCACAGCCAAAAAAGCUCUGCUCAUAGCAUGUGGAGUGCGAUGUGUCCUGUCACCACGACCCUCUAACUGCUCCACAUCAUCACCCCAUAAAGACGAGAACGGCAGAGCUCAUUCCAUCUCUGCAGAAGAACAGAAAUGCAGUAGAGACUGUGUUGAAACAAAGACUGAACUGAAAGUAUGGGAUGAAUACACUUUGAUUAAAAGACGAGGGGAGAGAGAAAGAGCGAGGAGCAGUAUACACAGACAGAGAGUCCCGCUGGAUUUAAGCCACCGGCCUUCCACUGUCCCACUGGAGAAUCAGACGGGACGCCGAGCACUAAGCACACCAGAAACACCCAUGUGUAAGAUUCUCUGGAGAAGAAAAGAUGACCAAAAUGUCCUUCAAGAUAGACCUCAACAUUUUACUGAAGAUGAGAAUCUCAGUCUAACCCCCUUACUACAUCUCUACCUGCCUUCAUCAUAUCAGCUGCAGGGGCAGAGAGAAGACACAGCAGCGGGACAGGAAAAUAGCUCAGAGGUACAUGAGAGGCAAGACGUCACAGAGGAACUCAGAGAGCAUGACAUCACCAUGGAGAGCCAAAAACAAGACAUCACCGUCAAUAAAACAGCAGAUGAAGGACAAAAUGAUUUCACAGAUGGUAUGCGAUAUGAUAAUACAGAUACCUGUGAGAAUGACACUCCUGAGGAAAUGUUUGAGAAUGACAAGAUUGACGAAAAACGUCCACAAGACGUCACAGAUGACAACAGACAACAGAAAAUCAUAGAAAAUCAAUGUGACAUUGACAGAUCGUUUAAUAUUGUAGAGGACAAGCAAGAAUAUGACAUUACAGAGAAGACUGAAGGCGAAUAUAGGAGAAUCAAAUUGAAUAGAAGUUCAUACAAAUCUUCUGAUCUCAAACACAGAAUCAAAACACGUUACCCGGCCACAGCUACAGCGCUAACGUUCCCGUCUCCCCUGAUGGACAGAAAUCCCUCUCCCACUCUCAGCAUCCUGCCAUCAUUUUAUGGAACUUCAUUUGGAUAUCGCAUCAGAACCACAUCUGAGCCCUGCCGAUCCAAAACAAGGACCAGAGAAGCCUGUGAUGACAACAGAUCUAGAGAGCCCAUGAAUGACAUGCGACAUACCAUAGAAAUAAAAGGAAAACCCUGCUUAUUGAAAACAAAGGCUGGAGUGCCAGUCAGCCCCCACCCCAAAAUAAUGAGCCCUGAGAGGGGGUCCCAGCCUCGUAAAAUCAAAACCACCAAGACGUUUUUGUGAGGACCAGAGGGGCCUCUAGAGACUAAGACAGUGUGUGAGCUACAUAGUCCUGUGAACAGGUGGAGAAGCCUGGAUUAGGUCUGAGAAUGAUUUGACGGCACAAUUGUGUGUGGCCCUUUAUUCCUUUCCAAUACAGAAAAUCUGCUUUGCAGACUGGCAUGCUAGACCAAUUUGUGUCUAACAACUUAAAUGUCUUAUGGCUUUGAGAAGAAUGGCUUUAGCACAGGCUGUGAUGUUGAGUUAAGUCCAGCGAGAAAGAGUGAUAGACUUUUUAGGUUUUCUUUCUGUCACUUAUAUGAUCUUCCUCAGUUAAAGUCGCUUAAGCUGUAUUGACACAUUAUUAUGAUUCCUCAAAAUUAAAUCCCUGCAGGUUUUGGUGUUUUCUUCCUCUCUCUCUCUCUCUCUCUCUCUCUCUCUCGGUUUGAUAUAAAACUAGUACAUCUUCUAAAAUAUGUAACUCCAUCCAAAAAUCAUGUCUGGUGACUGUCUUUCAACACUGGGGAAUGACGUUACAUAAGACUUUUGAAGGCCGAAAAGACAAAUGCCUUUACAGCUGUUGAUUUUGAAACAAAAGUGGUACAUUUAAGUGAUGUAUAGUGCACACAAUAAAACGUCAGUUACUGAUAGUUUGAUAUUA